UCCUCCCUCUGGCGGCGUGCCUAAUACAUGCAAGUUGAGCGAUGAAGAUUGGUGCUUGCACCAAUUUGAAGAGCAGCGAACGGGUGAGUAACGCGUGGGGAAUCUGCCUUUGAGCGGGGGACAACAUUUGGAAACGAAUGCUAAUACCGCAUAAUAACUUUAAACAUAAGUUUUAAGUUUGAAAGAUGCAAUUGCAUCACUCAAAGAUGAUCCCGCGUUGUAUUAGCUAGUUGGUGAGGUAAAGGCUCACCAAGGCGAUGAUACAUAGCCGACCUGAGAGGGUGAUCGGCCACAUUGGGACUGAGACACGGCCCAAACUCCUACGGGAGGCAGCAGUAGGGAAUCUUCGGCAAUGGACGAAAGUCUGACCGAGCAACGCCGCGUGAGUGAAGAAGGUUUUCGGAUCGUAAAACUCUGUUGGUAGAGAAGAACGUUGGUGAGAGUGGAAAGCUCAUCAAGUGACGGUAACUACCCAGAAAGGGACGGCUAACUACGUG
rnacentral:rRNA from 1 species